rnacentral:rRNA from 2 species
UGUCGAUGAAGAGCGCAGCCAACUGUGUGAAUUAAUGUGAACUGCAAACUGCUUUGAACAUCGACAUCUUGAACGCAAAUUGCGGCCACGGGUUAGCCUGUGGCCACGCCUGUCCGAGGGUCG